CAGCUCGUAAAUCUAAGUUCUACCUUUCCAACUGUCAGAGAUACAAGAAUAACCCGCGUUACUAAAACGACGCCGCGCUCAACAACGAUUCUUUUGUAGACGACGACGGUGUCAGACAAACGGUGCCGGUUGGUCAUUGUCGCAAUUGCGCUAAUCUCCACAUACAGCGCGUCGUUUGGUCACCUCAUCGGAAACCCUCCUUCCUCUCAAUUCCCAAACCCUAAUUUAGAAAUAAAUAGCCCUUAUUUUCAGGCCAAUGGCAUCUUCUUCAGACGCAUGGAUGAAGGAAUAUAAUGAAGCAGUGAAACUUGCUGACGACAUCAAUGGCAUGAUUUCUGAGCGGAGUUCACUCCCUGCAUCUGGACCAGAAACCCAGCGUCAUGCAUCUGCUAUAAGAAGGAAGAUCACAAUAUUAGGGACCAGACUUGAUAGCUUGCAAUCUCUUCUGUCAAAGGUCCCUGCAAAAACUGAGAAGGAGAUGAAUCGUCGCAAGGACAUGCUUGGAAAUUUGAGGACGAAAGUUAAUCAAAUGGCUUCAACAUUGAACAUGUCAAAUUUUGCAAAUAGGGAUAGUUUGUUUGGGCCAGAAAUAAAGCCAGAUGCAAUGAGCAGAACUGUUGGCCUGGACAACAGUGGACUUGUUGGUCUUCAACGGCAAAUUAUGAAAGAGCAAGACGAUGGCCUUGAGAAAUUGGAGGAGACUGUAAUCAGUACAAAACAUAUUGCAUUGGCAGUGAAUGAAGAGCUGGAUCUACACACCAGACUCAUUGAUGACUUGGAUCAACACGUAGAUGUUACAGAUUCUCGGCUAAGGGAUAAACAGUUCGUGAGAAACUUUAAAAUUUAUGGAUGAGAUAUAAAGCAGAACUAGAUGAUAAUAAAUUAUGGAACAUUAGUGGAUGCCCUUGCAAGAGAACAUCGAGUGCAGAAGAACUUGGCAAUUUUAAACAAACGUACUAAGGGUGGUUGCUCCUGCUUGUGCCUGCUUUUAUCAGUGAUUGGUAUAGUGGUUUUGGUUGUUGUCAUAUGGCUGUUGGUCAAAUAUUUGUAAUGAUUAAAAAAUACCCAACACAAGAAGUUUCUCUUUUUCAUGUUUCUGAAUGUGUGCAUUGAAACAUGAUAACCGUGUUUCUUUGAUUUUCCUUUGUGCUCUGGCAAUGACAUGGAAUUUAUUAAGGUAUUGAAAGGCUUUGAUAUGUAAUUGUCAAAUUUCAUGUGUUGAUGAUACCUUUGAGUGUUCUCUUGUAAAAGUCAUGAAGUUGAAGUGACUUCCAAUAACUACUUUA